rnacentral:rRNA from 1 species
UACGUAGGGGGCGAGCGUUGUCCGGAUUUAUUGGGCGUAAAGAGCGUGUAGGCGGCCAGGUAGGUCCGUUGUGAAAACUCGAGGCUCAACCUCGAGACGUCGAUGGAAACCAUCUGGCUAGAGUCCGGAAGAGGAGAGUGGAAUUCCUGGUGGUAGCGGUGAAAUGCGCAGAUAUCAGGAAGAACACCUAUGGCGAAGGCAGCUCUCUGGGACGGUACUGACGCUGAGACGCGAAAGCGUGGGGAGCGAACAGG